rnacentral:rRNA from 1 species
UACGGAGGAUCCGAGCGUUAUCCGGAUUUAUUGGGUUUAAAGGGUGCGUAGGCGGAUUAUUAAGUCAGCGGUGAAAUUUUGCAGCUUAACUGUAAGAUUGCCGUUGAAACUGAUGAUCUUGAGGAUAGUCGAGGUAAGUGGAAUGUGUUGUGUAGCGGUGAAAUGCAUAGAUAUAACACAGAACACCGAUUGCGAAGGCAGCUUACUAGACUAUAACUGACGCUGAGGUACGAAAGCGUGGGGAGCAAACAGGAUUAGAUACCCUGGUAGUCCACGCUGUAAACGAUGAAUACUAGCUGUAUGCGAUAUACAGUAUGCGGCGGAGCGAAAGCAUUAAGUAUUCCACCUGGGGAGUACGUUCGCAAGAAUGAAACUCAAAGGAAUUGACGGGGGCCCGCACAAGCGGAGGAACAUGUGGUUUAAUUCGAUGAUACGCGAGGAACCUUACCCGGGCUUGAAAUGCAUCUGACGAAGGUGGAAACAUCUUUUCUAGUAAUAGCAGAUGUGUAGGUGCUGCAUGGUU